AGUCAACCAUUCAAAGCUCUCACUGAUGGAAGGCGGUUUUGGCUUAAAAUCUCACGAUAUAUGGCCCCAUUCAUUCAUUCCUUGACACGGAUCAACCGUCCUGUCCCCUUAGCAGAAAAACAGCCCCAAAUCAGGAUGUUUUCACCCCCAUGCUUCACAGUAGGUGUGGUGUUCUUGGGAUGCAGCUCAGAAUUAUUCUUCCUCCAAACACGACGAGUUGAGUUUAUACCAAAUAGUUCUAUUUUGGUUUUAUCUGACCACAUGACAUUCUCCCAAUCCUCUGCUGUAUCAUCCAUGUAUCCAUUUUGGUAUAAACUCAACUCGUCGUGGAAAGAAUGAAUGGGGCAAUGUAUCGUGAGAUUUUGGGCCAAAACCUCCUUCCAUCGGUGAGAGCUUUGAAUGGUUGACUAAAUACUUAUUUUCCACCAUAAUUUUCAAAUAAAUUCUAUAAAAUUCCUACAAUGUGAAUUUCUGGAUUUUUUUUUCACAUUCUGUCUCUCACAGUUGAAGUGUACCUAUGAUGAAAAUUACAGACCUCUGUCAUCAUUUUAAGUGGGAGAACUUGCACAAUCGGUGGCUGACUAAAUACUUUUUUGCCCCACUGUAUAUGUGAACCGGCCAAUAUUAACUGCUGCCCGAUCGAUUGGCACAUACCUAGUUAAGACUAGGGAUGUCCGAUAAUAUCGAACUGCCGAUAUUAUCGGCCGAUAAAUGCUUUAAAUUGUAAUAUCAGAAAUUAUCGGUAUUGGUUUCAAAAUGAUCGGAAUCUGUUUCAAAAAUUAAAAUGUAUUACUUUUUAAAACGCCAUUGUGUACACGGAUGUAGGGAGAAGUACAGAGCACCAAUAAACCUUAAAAGCACUUCCUUUGUGUGCCGGCCCAGUCACAUAAUAUCUACGGCUUUUCACACACACAAGUGAAUGCAAGUCAUACUAGCUCAACAGCCAUACAAGUCACACUGAGUGUGGCCGUAUAAACAAUUAAUUUACCACUGUUACAAAUAUGCGCCACACUGUGAACCCUCACCAACAAGAAUGACAAACACAUCCGCACCGUAACACAAUAUAAACACAACACAACAAAAACCCAGAACCACUUGCAGCAUUAACUCUUCCGGGACGCUACAAUAUACACCCCCUGCUACACCUUCCCCCACCUCAACCUCCUCAUGCUCUCUCAGGGAGCGCAUGUCCCAAAUUCCAAGCUGCUGUUUUGAGGCAUGUAAAAAAAAAAAAAAUGCACUUUGUGACUUCAAUAAUAAAUAUGGCAGUGCCAUGUUGGCAUUUAUUUCCAAUAACUAGAGUUGAUUUAUUUUGGAAAACCUUGUUACAUUGUUUAAUGCAUCCAGUGGGGCAUCACAACAAAAUUAGGCAUAAUCAUGUGUUAAUUCCAUGACUGUAUACAUCGGUAUCGGUUGAUAUCGGAAUUGGUAAUCAAGAUUUGGACAAUAUCGGAUAUCGGCAAAAAAGCCAUUAUCGGACAUCUCCAGUCUCAACCAUAAGCAUUUACGCAAUACAACAGGUUUUCUCACUUGGGAAGCGUUAUACAUGUCAUAUAUUUUAUGAUGAUAUCAGACAUGCUAAAAACCUAUGGUGCAGUAGUUAGUGACACUAUGUUGUGAUUCACAGGAUAUGGGUUUGAGUCCUGUUAAGAACCGUUUUAUUUAACACGUAUUAUAAUAAAAGUGUUUUGAAGGUCUAGUCUGUUACACAAAAGACUGUAUCCGUACCAGUUUGCCUACCGCAGCAACAGAGAGCACAGACAACGCGGUCUCCACAGACUGACACUCUGUACUCACACAUCUGGAUAACAACAUAGUUCAGUAUUCAAUACUGUCAUUCCUUUAAAACCAUUUACAAACCUUGGGCACCAUCAACCUUUGUCAAUGGACAAAGAAAUUUCUGAUCAAGAGACCACAUCAUGUUAGUUCAGGACAUACCUGUUCCUCUGCUUUCAUACUCAAAACAAGCAUACCACAGGGCUAUGUGCUUGGUCGCUUCCUCUAUUCCCUCUUCACCCACGUCUUUACACCUGUGCAUGUAUCCAACUCCAUUACAACAUUUGCAAAUGACACUUGGGGGGAUUGGUCUCAUCAGUAAUGCAAUUAGACAGCCUACAGGUUGGGGGUAGAACAUCUGGCUGCUUGGUGUGAGGAAUAGGAUAACUUGCUACUUAAAAUUCCCUCAAAAUUAUAGAACUCAUUGACUUCAGAAAGUUAAGAGGCACAUCAAAGUCCAAUCAAUGUAACUCAAUGGGUUGGCUGUAUAACAAGUCUUCAGAAUUAAAUUUUUGGUAUUCACAUAAUUGAGAACCUCUCCUGGUCCUUCAACCUGGUCAAGAGGGUUCAUCAGCGGUUCCCUUUUCCAGAAAUGACUAAGGAUGCACCUCAAGGAUACUCAAUUGAGAGCAAUUCAACCAUCUGUGUCAGUCUGUUAAGGGAACUACACUGUAGCAGACCAAGCGGUCUGGCGAAAAAAAUCAUAUAUCACUCUACUUACAGCCAUUGAGGAUGUUGAGAAGAAACAUUGCAUGCAUCAAACGCACAACAUCCUCAAGGAGACCUCAGACCCUGCCCACGGUCUGUUCACCCUCCUGGACUAAAUCUAGCAGGAACAGAUUUUCCCCAGAACUAUCACUGCAAUUUGUCUUUUAAUUGAUUUAAUGGCGAUUUGUGCAGAAAAUUAAAACCCCUCUAUUUUUACCUUUUUUACCUGGAAAUCUAUAUAUUUCAAAACAACUGUUGAUAUGGUAUGACGAAAGCUUGGACAUGGAAAGAAGGGAAUCAUGCCUAGUUCAGAAUUGUCACGUGAACUUGAGACAAUACAAGGAAAUCCUGCGGUGUCAGUCAGCAUACCUUACGCAGGCUGACACUACGACUACAUCAGUACAGUGUGCUGUCCUGCAGCAUCCGUGUGAGGAGGGAAUGCACUGAUAACAGAGGGGGGGAAAGAGACCAUUGUCAAUUAACAAUUGUAUAAUUGUGCACAUCUGAUAUUUUUUAAUUGAAUGCAUCGGUCUUCAUUUCCACACUGACCCGCUUUUAACGUUUUUCUCUUGCAUUUACUUUGCAUUUGAUACUGAAAUAUUUUUUGUUUCAAUGCACUUUUGACAAAUCAAAAAUAGACACUAAACAGUUAAGCCGCAAUUAAAAUGGAUUAAUAAAAAAAACCAAAUAGUCUUCUAAAUAAUAAAGAUGGUGUUUUUGUUGCACACACACCAAGACUGGUUCAUGACUGCAGCUGAAGAAGUAACUGGCACACAAAACAAGCAAUCAUCGCUGAGGGGUGCAGAUCAAAACACUGCAUGGAAAACAUAAACAAGUGCAGCUGAACAAACAAUACAUUGACUUGAAGUUAAAAUAUGUACCUCUACUUGCUUUGAAACCACCAAUUUGAAGGCAGUAACUUCUCCUGGGAAUGGUAGAAAUCAACACGGGUGAGACCAAGAUUAUCAUUACUACAGUUUAAUCCAUUUAUUCUGGAAAUGUACAAAAAAAAGUUUUACAGCAAUCAGACAAGUUCACAGGAUAUUUUUUAUCAGCAAUAUUGUAACAUCAGUUUAUAUUUUUCAUAUUCCAGAUGAUUAUCAUUAUAUUCAAAAAUGCAUAUAAAGUAAUUGUUAUAUCAAAACCUGCAAAUACUUCUUAUUGCAUAUGUAAGUACAUAAAUGAUCCUUUCGUGUUGUCUCUUCCUAUCAUUGUGAAGCAGAAUUCACCAAGCGUUGGCUUGUUCAUCCACUAAUAGGGAACUUAAGCUGUGUUUAAACCGUCGAUAGACAGGUUAGUUUUACCCUACUGAUGAAGCGUUGUUGCAAUUUCCAUGAUUUAUCUAGCACAAGUGCUUUCGGGCGUCAAAGCCAACAGGGUAAGUCAAAAUUUUAAAAAGAAAACUUCCUAUAUGGCUGAAUAGGGAUGUGUUCCAGGAACAAAUACAUAAAACAGCUUAAAAAUCAUUACAUUGAAUUAAAAUGAUUAACAAGAGUAUUUUGUUAGUGCUGCUGGGAAAAUAAGUGAUUUUUAAAGCAAUGAUUUAGAAACAAAUCGUGAUUUAGCAAGGUGUUUAGUCGUGUCCUCAUAAUCAAAUCUUUUGUUUGCUGUACCUAAAUCAGGAGGACAACCAAAUCCAAAAUCAGCCCAGCCUGACCUUCGUUGGGGGGGGGGGUCCCACAACACUGGAGCUUGGUGUCAUUAAAAGUGCGUUAAAACAAGGUGAAACUUUUCGUACCUGACACUUGUACCAGCCGGCUUGUGAGGCACUUACGCACGAUUAGGACUCAUUCAAAUGAGUGAGAGGAUCCUAACAAGUCCUGUAUGUGGACAAUGUUAUGUCUUGGCAUUGUUGCUGCUGGACAAAGGUUCUACCUCAGCAGUGAUGUUGCUGAGCUCAAACGGUUUGGACUGUGGGCCGGCGCCGUCUUGUUUCUUGGGCUGGCUUCUAAAGUGACGGAAGAUGACGACAGCGGCACUUACACAGUAGACGACAGUGAGCAGGGCGAAGUAAAUGAAGUACACCAGGAACUGGGGAAAAAAACAGAGCACUAAUCAGGAUAUAAUGUUCCGUUAAUUGACUUUAAAGUUGCUGUAUGUCGCAGAAAGGAACAGCAAUCCCGCAAUCUUGCUGGUCUACACCGCACUGAUUUAACUUAUAGUUGUGACGAAUAGGAAUUUUUAAAAUAGGUUUUCUUAAAGCACUAUUGGUAAUAUGGUAGCAGUUGUUGGUUUUAAAAAUAUAUAUAUAUUUUGAGCAAAUGACAUAUAGCAGCAUUAAGUAUUUCAUCAAACCCUCCAUCCAGUCACAGAAUACAUACUGACUAAUAAGUAGGGAUGGGCUGAUGGAUCAGGCCACACAUUAAUAUUGGUCUAUUUUUUUUUUUAAACUACACAAUCACCAUUGCCGAUAAACCGAUUAAUACAAUUUAGUGCCAAUCACAAAUGUCGAUCCCAUUUGGCAGAGACUAUUUAUUUUUAGUCGCCCAGCUGACAAGCGGGUAGCACCUAAUAAUGCAGGGGUAGGGAACCUAUGGCUCUAGAGCCAGAUGUGGCUCUUUUGAUGACUGCACCUGGCUCUCAGAUAAAUCUUAGCUGACAUUGCUUAACACGAUAAGUAAUGAAUAAUUCAGCUGGUAAUCACAGUGUCAAAAAUAACGUUACAAAAACAAACCAUUCUCAUGCAUUUUCAUCCAUCUAUCCGGUUUCUACCGCACCUGUUCAAGAAGUCGGAUUAAUGGUAAGAAAUAUUUUAUUUAUUUUUGGUUAGCCUCAGAAUAACAGUGUUAUUAAAAAGAAUAAGAGACGUAUUAUACUCUAAACAUGUUGAUCCUUCUUAAAAUGCACGCAUGUAGUUGUAUUCAGUGUUAAAAAAAAUAUAUAUAUAUACAUAUAUAUGGCUCUCACAGAAAUACUUUUAUAAAUAUUUGGCUUGUAUGGCUCUUUCAGCCAAAAAAGGUUCCCGACCCCUGUAAUAAUGUGUCGCCAUACACAGUGUGGAGACGCUCCUCUAAGCUAAUAAUCACCUCCAUUACAGCAAAUAACCUGCAUUUCUUAAUAUAGGUAUCAUUAACAAGUAUCACAUUAUCACUGGAGGAUGAUGCUGAACAUAUGAGAAUAAGAAACACAUUUUAAAAUUGUUCAACUGCAAAUAGCGCUCACCAUAAAUUUUUAAAUUUACAGUUAACACAUUGGUAUCGGUAUUCGCAUCAGCCGAUCUCACUCAUGGAUGGUUGGUAUCGGAACAUCCGUACUAAUAAGCAUUCACAGCUACAAAACCCAAAACCGGUGGAAUUGGCACGUUGUGUAAUUCCUAAAUAAAAACAGAAUACAAUGAUUUGCAAAUACUUUUCAACUUAUAUUCAAUUGAAUAGAAUGCAAAGACAAGAUAUUUAAAGUUCCAACUGAGAACUUAAUUUUUUUUUUGCAAAUAAUCAUUAACUUGGAAUUUAAUGGCAGCAACACAUUGCAAAAAAGUUGGCACAGGGGCAUUUUUACCACUGUGUUACAUGGCCUUUCCUUUUAACAGCACUCAGUAGACGUUUGGAACUGAGGAGACCAAUUUUUGAAGCUUUUCAGGUGGAAUUAUUUCUCAUUCUUGCUUUCAACAGUCUGGGGUCUUCGUUGUCAUAUUUUAGGUUUCAUAAUGUGCCACACAUUUUCAACGGGAGACAAGUCGAGACUACAGGCAGGCCAGUCUAGUACCCGCACUGUUUUACUAUGAAGCAAAGCUGUUGCAACACGUGGCUUGGCAUUGUCUUGCUGAAAUAACCAGGGGCGUCCAUGAAAGCAUUUCUUGGAUGGAAACAUAUGUUGCUUCAAAACCUAUAUGUACCUUUCAGCAUUAAUGGUGCCUUCACAGAUGUGUAAAUUACCCAUGUCUUGGGCACUAAUACACCCCCAUACCAUCACAGAUGCUGGCUUUUGAAAUUUGUGCCUAGAAGAAUCCGGAUGGUUCUUUUCCUCCUAGUUCCGGAAGACACAACGUCCACAGUUUCCAAAAACUAUUUGAAAUGGUGACUCGUCAGAUCACAGAACACUUUUCCACUUUGCAUUAGUCCAUCUUAGAGGAGCUCAGGCCCAGCGAAGCCGGCGGCGUUUCUGGGUGUUGUUGAUAAAUGGCUUUCGCUUUGCGUAGUAGAGUUUUAACUUGCACUUACAGAUGUGGCGACGAACUGUAGUUACUGACAGUGGUUUUCGGAAGUGUUCCUGAGCCCAUGUGGUGAUAUCCUUUACACACCUAUGUUGCUUUUUGAUGCAGUACCGCCUGAGGGAUCGAAGGUCAUCGGCAUUCAAUGGUAUUUUUCAGCCUUGCCUCUUACGUGCAGUAAUUUCUUCAGAUUCUCUGAACCAUUUGACGAUCUUAUGGACCGUAGAUGGUGAAAUCCCUAUGUUCCUUGCAAUAGCUCGUUGAGAAAUGCUCUAAAAAACAAAAUUACUCACGCAUUUGUUCACAAAGUGGUGAACCUCGCCCCAUCCUUGUUUGUGAAUGACUGAGCAUUUCAUGGAAGCUGCUUUUAUACCCAAUCAUAGCAACCACCUGUUCCCAAUUAGUCUGUUCACCUGUUGGAUGUUCCAAAUAAGUGUUUGAUGAACAUUCCUCAACUUUCUCAGUCCUUUUUGCCUUUUUUUAAACAUGUUGCAGGCAUUAAAUUCCAAAUGAGCUAAUAUUUGCAAAAAAUAACAAAGUUUUCCAGUUCGAACGUUAAGUAUAUGCAGUCUCUUGAAUUGAAUAUUGGUUGAAAAGAAUUUGCUAAUCAUUGUAUUCUGUUUUUAUUUACCAUUUACACAACAUGCCAACUUCACUGGUUUUGUAUGAAUAAUUUAGUCUCCAAUCAACCAAGAACCGUUUUACCUUUAGGCAGAUGGGCUGCCCACUCCUCCACUGUGAUGUCAAUUUGUAUAUCUUGUAAUGUAACGCAGUAUUAUCAUUUUAGGUUUUUACAAUUUAACAUAUCAAAAUUUGUCAAUAACAUACCGUAAAAAUAAGUCCCCACCUUUUUUUUUUUAAUAUUGCCUGUCCUCCACAAUCCUUACGUGAUACAAGAACACAAAUGUAUUUCCCUUUUCUGCACAUUCAAUGUUGUGAAAAACCUCUAGCACAAGGCGGCUAACAUUGCAGGUAAUGAGGAUUCACCUCCUCUGCCUAUAAAGUCCUUUAAAAACAUCUAAACAUCCAUCCAUUUUCUAUUGCUUAUUCUCUUUGGGGUCGCGGGUGGCGCUUGUGCCUAUCUCAGCAACAAUCGGGCGGAAGGCGGGGUGCACCCUGGACAAGUCGCCACCUCAUCGCAGGGCCAACACAGAUAGACAGACAACAUUCACACUCACAUUCACACACUAGGGCCAAUUUAGUGUUGCCAAUCAACCUAUCCCCAGGUGCAUGUCUUUGGAAGUGGGAGGAAGCCGGAGUACCCGGAGGGAACCCACGCAUUCCCGGGGAGGACAUGCAAACUCCACACAGAAAGAUCCCGAGCCCGGGAUUGAACCCUGACUACUCAGGAUCUUCGUAUUGUGAGGCGGACACACUAACCCCUUUGCCACCAUGAAGCCGUACAUCUAAACGAUGUUCUACUUAUGUCUAUGGAUGUUCUACUUUAAUCCAGGUCAUUGUAAUCUCAGGGCAUUUAAUUGAUCGCAACUGAAUUAUUUAGUUUGUCUAAGAAGACGUUUCGCCUCUCAUCCGAUUAGGCUUCAUCAUUCAUAUGCCGUAACCUGCAUACUAACCCAGCUGUAGCAAAGAGCUAACCCAGAGGAUCUACUUUUCUGGCAUAGUCACAAAGCACUAAUGCUCACAGCCUGUUAGGCUACUACCGAGUGGCAAACUAGCUACUUGAGCUGCUGCUUUGAGUUAAUAAAAGUUAUUGCUAGGUUAUAAAUCAGACCUUGCACGUGUAUCAUAGAAAGUUGCGUAUAGCUGUAUAGCUCGGUUGGUAGAGCGGCCGUGCCAGCAACUUGAGGGUUGCAGGUUCGAUCCCCUCUUCCGCCUUCCUAGUCACUGCUGUUGUGUCCUUGGGCAAGGCACUUAACCCACCCGCUCCCAGUGCCAAACACACUGGUUUAAAUGUAAAAAAAAAUAGAUAUUGGGUUUCACUAUAUAAAGCGCUUUGACUCACUAGAGAAAAGGCGCUAUAUAAAUAUAAUCCACUUCACAAAUAAGCGAAGAAAGUCCAUAAACUAUGCUAAAAAUCCAGACUGACUGAAGCAGUGAAUAUAGACGCUCAACUUAACCUCGACGACAUUACUAAGAAGACAUAGCAAGAUGCUUGUUUGCUCUCUGCAUUUUUGACUACAAGAUAAUGCUGAACUUACCAGCUCAAUUUAUACAAGUCUGCUGAAAGAUACAUUUAUCGCAUCAGUCAACAUCCCGGUUUUAUUUUUAUAGUUUGGUGAUUAAAUGUUUAGCAAUGGUACGAGAAUGGCUUAGUGUUUCACUAUCAUUUGGGAUCAUUUGCCCCAAAGUAGUUGUCAGUGCUGCCACGAUUAGUGAUGGCAAACACAGAAGACACUCCCACUCUUGUUGUUGACGGAACGAGCGUUUGUUGAUAUGCGCUCUGUGAAAUCAACGCGCCGAAGAAAUAAGUUCCGAUUAUGCGGCAAAAUGACUUACAUAUUAUAUUACAUGUUAUCAUGAAUGUGCCCGUUACGACAUGGUUACAGCUUGGAUAUACUGUACAAUGUGUCCCGGUUUUUGGACGUUUUUACAUGGCUUUGAUGAAAUUACUGGCAUGGUUAGUUGGUGUUUAUGUGUAUAUUUCAUUUAUUUAUUUAGUUUUUUCUCUGUUCUUGUUACCUUUUUGUAUUUAGGAUUAUGUAAUAAAAUAACACAAUAUAA